ACAGCUUCAGUAUCAGCUUCUGCUUCUAAUUAUUCCGUUGUGUUUAGCAUCAAGAUGCCAAACCAGUCCAAAAGUGGGCUACGCAUAAGCUCGUUGGAGUUCCAAUGAUCCGUAUCCAUGCCCAACCGAUGUUCUCACUGUGUUGCAUUUCUGCCAACUGCCAUGAGAUGAUGAUGCAAGACAAAUGGUCAUGCGAUACAUUGACAAGAAAAAAGCGAUAUGCUACACACAUUAUCCCGUGCGCUUUGACAGCCUUGAUACUUGAAUUCAUGGAAAGAGGGGAGCACACCUUAUCGUGAAGAUCACUUCUUCUCUAACGCUACAAGCAUCAGCUAUUGCUGCAACAUUUGCGCCGGGAGGUCGGCCAUGAGUCACCCACCUAUUUGCAUUUGCACAGAGGAAAACAUCCAGGGGGAAAACAUCAGUUAUAUUACUAUCAUAUAAAGUGUGAGAUAUACAAUAUCAUGGAGAUAUAGCAUUAUUAGUUUCAUCACUAUUAGCCCGAUGAGCAGCGACCGGGUUCCAUCCGAUGAAGCUUUAGCCUCUGAAUACCACAAGCUUUAGCCUCCGGUCACAUGUUCAAAUGAAUCCCAUAGAGGCUGAACAUUCCAAAUUUGGGGCCACUGGAAGGAUUGCCCGGUCGUUUACUUCAGGACCCUGCAAAUUAGUCAAGGUGCGAGCAAGCUGGCUCGGAAAAGUUUAUCGAAAAAUAACAGAAUAGUAUAACAAUAGCAGAACACAAUGGCAUUUUGUUUGGUGAUGUAAAAGUUUUUACCUUGGAGGCUCAAUCUCACUGAGUUCUAACAGUGACCCAUCCUUUGUGCAGAAAUAAAGUCUCCUGUUUUGGUCA